UACGUAGGGGACGAGCGUUGUCCGGAAUUACUGGGCGUAAAGGGCGCGCAGGCUGUAGAUCAAGUCAGCUGUGAAAUGUCUGGGCUUAACCCGGGCAUGCGGUUGAAACUGAUGUACUGGAGUGCUGUAGAGGCAAGUGGAAUUCCCAGUGUAGCGGUGAAAUGCGUAGAUAUUGGGAAGAACACCGGCGGCGAAGGCGGCUUGCUGGACGGCAACUGACGUUGAGGCUCGAAAGCGUGGGGAGCAAACAGGAUUAGAUACCCGGGUA
rnacentral:rRNA from 1 species